AUGCUGAAGUAUGAAGUAGAUAUGGGAGACAAAGAAAUGCAACAGGCAGAAUGUUGCGUACUAGAAGAGUUUCCACCAACACACGAGCCAAAAGAACAUAUUAUGCAUGCGACAAGCACACAAGAGCAUGAAGUUAUUGAAAUAUCCAGUAGACGCAAAGAGAUUAUGGAUGUCAGCAGCCACACCAUCGCCCAACAAUCUUGCACAGAUCAAGAACAAAAUGAUCCACCAAUAGAACCAGAUCAACCACCACCAGACGACAAGAUACCACACCAUGCUGAAGAGGAAACAGACGAGCAAAAUACCAACAGCAAUAUCACGAGCACGGAGCAACUGAAACAAACAGGCACCGAUUUAAAAGAGGAUGACAGAAGCAACGACGUACCAAAAACACGACAACAGGAAGAAGUUGAUGAAUUUCUUUCAAGCCUCAACCCGCUACAACUAGAAGAAUACAACAAGUAUGUAAAGAUGGUCUAUGAGUUCGAUGUAAUCAAAACAUGGCUGAAUGACCAUGAAAGCUAUGAAUUCAACAAAGAUGACAUGCCGUAUCUGAAAAUCUUGCAGCAAGAAUCAGGAGAAGAUUAA
rnacentral:rRNA from 1 species